ensembl:snRNA U6 U6 spliceosomal RNA
UUGGAUUUAUUCUACAGCAGCACAAGGUUGGAACGAUACAGAAAAGAUUAGUAUGGCCCCUGGUGCAAGAAAGAAAUGCAAAAUCUUGGAUUUAAACAUUUUGAU